rnacentral:rRNA from 1 species
GUUUAUCUCAAAUCUUUGCAUAGAAAUGGUGGGACUCUCACAUAUGUAUGUACAUUGUCACAAUUAUAGCUCUUUACAUUUUGUCAUUUUCUGUCAAGUACAUGUAAAAAAUUGGUCAAAAGACAAAAUGCAAUCAAUCAGGGAAGAAAAGCAUUGACAAAAUGCAUUUGGUUUAUCUCAAAUCUACAGGCAUGAACAAAAUAAAAAAUUUCUCACUGCAAGCAUCAGGAACAGGUUGAGUUUGGCAUGAACGCAUCUAGCAGAACUGAACGCAUCCAUUAAUACUGAACGCCGUCUGCUCCUUUCCUCUCUGGGCGCUGCCCAGGCAAGCUGAUGCUGCCGCCGACCAGGUGUGGCUGCUGCUGGCUGGCUUCUAAUACUCGCGCCGAAGUAGCCUGGCUCGCCGCCCAGCUUCAAGACCGUCGCCCCGCAGCCGCUCGUCCGCCGCCCCGCAGCUGAUUGAGGAGAAGACGAGGGAGAGGGUGGCGUGGAGGAAGGACAGUCAGCGGUGCAGAUGAAGGAGAGGAGCUUCCGGUGGCGCGGAUCGACGAAGGAGAGAGACGAGGGGGAGGCGGCGCACCAGAGAGAGAGGAGAGGGCGAGAGGGGAUGUGGUUGCGGGAGAGAGACGAGAGGGAGACGGUUCCGCGUCGUACGCUCGAAUUCGAGGUCUCG